rnacentral:pre_miRNA from 1 species
AGUAGAAUUGCUGGGUGGUAUGGUAACUAUGUUUAACUUUCUGAGGAACUGCCAGGCUGCUUUCCAAAGCGGCUGCACCAUUUUACAUUCCCAUCAGCAGU